AAUGAACGCUGGCGGCGUGCGUAACACAUGCAAGUCGAACGUGAAAGUCCCCGUUCGGGGGAUGAGUAAAGUGGCAAACGGGUGAGUAACACGUGGGUAACCUGCCCUCUGGUGGGGGAUAACCCUGCGAAAGCGGGGCUAAUACCGCAUAACAAGUCGCUAAAUAAUUAGUCGACUUCAAAGCCUUCGGGCGCUAGAGGAGGGGCCCGCGUCCCAUUAGCUAGUUGGUAGGGUAACGGCCUACCAAGGCUGCGAUGGGGUAGCCGGCCUGAGAGGGUGUCCGGCCACACUGGAACUGAGACACGGUCCAGACUCCUACGGGAGGCAGCAGUGGGGAAUUUUGCGCAAUGGGCGAAAGCCUGACGCAGCGACGCCGCGUGGGUGAUGAAGUUCUUCGGAACGUAAAGCCCUGUCAGGAGGGACGAAGCUCUGACGGUACCUCCAAAGGAAGCCCCGGCUAACUCCGUG
rnacentral:rRNA from 1 species